GGCUUACGGGUAGUUGGUCUGAGAGGAUGAUCAGCAACACUGGGACUGAGACACUGCCCAGACUCCUACGGGAGGCUGCAGUCGAGAAUCAUUGUCAAUGCACAAAAGUGUGAACAUGGACGCCGUGAGAAGACCGCCUCGAGUUGUAAACUCCUGUCAGCAGGGAGUAAGAUGGAAUCUCUAAUACAGAUUUCAUUGAUAGUACUGCAGAGGAAGUCACGGCUAACUCUGUGCCAGCAGCCGCGGAAAUACAGAGGUGGCGAACGUUGUUCGGAUUUACUGGGCGUAAAGGGUCCGCAGGCGGUCUUGUGUGUCGGGUGUGAAAGCUCACGGCUCAACCGUGGAAUUGCAUUCGAAACUGCAGGACUAGAGUACUGGAGGGGAGAAGGGAACACUUGGUGUAGCGGUGAAAUGCGUAGAUAUCAAGUGGAACACCGGAGGCGAAGGCGCUUCUCUGGACAGAUACUGACGCUCAUGGACGAAAGUUAGGGUCGCGAAAGGGAUUAGAUACCCCUGUAGUCCUAACUGUAAACGGUGUGCGCUAGGCGUGGGUGGCUUUACCCCCAUCCGUGCCUGAGCUAACGCAUUAAGCGCACCGCCUGGGGAGUACGGUCGCAAGAUUAAAACUCAAAGGAAUUGACGGGGACCCGCACAAGCGGUGGAGCAUGUGGCUUAAUUCGAUGCAACGCGAAGAACCUUACCUGGGCUUGACAUAUAGCUGCAUCCGACCCGAAAGGGACGGAGCCUUCGAGGGUGCUAUACAGGUGCUGCAUGGCUGUCGUCAGCUCGUGCCGUGAGGUGUUGGGUUAAGUCCCGCAACGAGCGCAACCCCUGUGUUUAGUUGCCAGCACGUAAUGGUGGGAACUCUAAAAAGACUGCCUGUGAAAGCAGGACGAGGUGGGGAUGACGUCAAGUCAGUAUGGUCCUUAUGUCAAGGACUGCACACGUGCUACAAUGGGACAAACAGUACCAGGCGAAAACGCCAGGUGGAGCAAAUCCUCAAAACAUCCCCCAGUUCGGAUUGUAGUCUGAAACUCGACUACAUGAAGUUGGAAUCGCUAGUAAAGGCGUAUCAGCUACGACGCCUUGAAUACGUUCCCGGGUCUUGUACUCACCGCCCGUC
rnacentral:rRNA from 1 species